UGAGCCGUAACUCGGCAGCUGGGCGUCGAGGAGAUAAGUGAAGAUUGAGGGAAAUCAAGGGAAGGCGUAGAAAGGAGUGUCUCUAUGUCAAUGAUGAACACCAGUCUCUAUGGUUCGAUUGUUCGGCCAUCGCCUGUAAUUCCCGAGCGAUAUGUUCCGUGCAUUUCUCUCCGAAACCCUAAUCGUUUUAGGAAGGAAUCCAAUUGCAUUUCAUCUGGACUCAGUAUCUCUGCUCUAUCACAAGAGCUUGGUCUAGCGUCCUCCGACGACGUUUCGUUGCAAAACCCAGUGAUUGAGACCGCAGAACGAGUUCAAGAAGAGCAAAAAGAAGUAGCAACGGCAGCGUCUGAUAUAGUUAGUGGAGAUUCCGGCAUAACACCAGAAGAUAAAGCUUCCGGCUGGUCGACUAGAACUAAGAAGAAGAAAGAAGAACAGGAUAGCUCUGAUGAUAGGUUCACGAUCCGGAAUGGAAGGGAGGUUUUUGAAGAAAAAGCCUACCUAGUAGGUGUCCAGUGCAAGGGUGACGCACAGGAUUCCUUUGGCAUUGAAGAAUCCAUCAAGGAACUGGCCCAGCUAGCUGACACGGCUGGAUUAAUGGUUGUUGGCUCUACUUACCAAAAGCUCACUAAGCCAAACCCCAGAACAUACAUUGGAUCUGGCAAGGUUUCAGAGAUUAAGAGCGCAAUUCAUGCAUUGGAUGUUGAAACUGUAAUCUUUGAUGAUGAACUGUCAGCUGGGCAAUUACGCAACUUGGAAAAGGUUUUUGGUGGAGAUGUGAGAGUUUGUGACCGCACUGCCCUCAUCCUUGAUAUAUUUAAUCAGCGAGCUGCAACUCACGAAGCAUCUUUACAGGUUGCAUUGGCGCAAAUGGAAUACCAGUUACCUCGAUUGACAAAAAUGUGGACCCACCUUGAGCGUCAAGCUGGAGGACAGGUGAAGGGAAUGGGUGAAAAACAAAUAGAAGUGGACAAACGUAUUUUGCGUAAUCAAAUUGGUGUCCUUAAGAAAGAGCUAGAAACUGUGAGGAAACAUCGGAAGCAGUACCGUAACAGACGAAUCUCAGUGCCUGUGCCUGUGGUAUCCUUGGUUGGGUAUACCAAUGCUGGUAAGAGUACACUUUUAAAUCAAUUAACAGGAGCAGAUGUUCUGGCUGAGGAUAAAUUGUUUGCAACUCUUGAUCCAACUACAAGGAGGGUACAGAUGAAGAAUGGGAAGGAGUUUCUCCUCACAGAUACUGUUGGUUUUAUUCAGAAAUUACCUACUACACUGGUUGCUGCCUUUAGAGCUACACUGGAGGAGAUAUCUGAGUCAUCCCUUUUGGUGCAUGUGGUUGAUAUCAGUCAUCCCCUGUCAGAACAACAGAUAGAAGCUGUGGACAAAGUUCUGUCAGAACUAGACGUGUCUUCAAUUCCAAGAUUGAUAGUCUGGAACAAGAGCAACCCCUGGAGUAUGGAUGAACUAGAUCUCUCACUUAUGGAAUCUUCUCCAGCAUCCCCUAGCUCAUCGUGGACCAACAUUAUGGAGGACGACAGUGGUGUUGUUCUUCUGCCAGUAGUGUAUUGUGGCAGCUAUGGUGGUUUCUCUCCCACUCCUCACUGAACCAGUUCUUGGUCCCCAACUCAUGUAUGCCCACAAACUCAGAAAGAGCGUGCUUAUCAACUUUAGCGGAUGACAAGGGUUGGUGGAGCAAGGCAAAGCAUGGUGAGGGCAUCGCCAGGGAGGAGCCGGGAGGGAAGAACACACACAAGCUGAGACGAGAGAUGGGAGGAAUCAUGGCCUCCUUAAUUGGGUUGUGGAAGGUGGCAGUGGAGAGUUUGCUUCUGCUCUUGUCGGCCAUCACUCUGUGCGCCACGCUCUUGUAAAUCCCAUUGCUCAACACCUCCACGUGGUCCCACAUGUUCACAAAUAUAGUAUUGUUCUUUGAUGGAGGAAUCUCCUCCCACUUCCAAUCUCUCAAGAAUUCAAGACCUGGCACUUGGUCAUCCUGCAGCAGUAGGAUUAUCCCUUCCUGCACCCAUAAGAGCUCUCAGUCAUGUCACCACUACUUCUGGUUUUUGACAUUGAAGUGGGGGGGAGACAGAGAAGAGAGGGAGGAGAAAGAUGAGGAUGUGCAUUACGGGACAUCAAUUGAUUGCUAGAAGAGAAGGUGGAUAAGGCCAGUGAUCCCCAGAAAAUCAGGCAAGAAGCUGAGAAAAGAGAAGAUGUGGUAUGCAUGUCUGCUUUGAACGGGGAUGGCCUACCUGAAUUCUGCAAUGCAGUUCAAGAAAGACUGAAG